AGGAUGAACGCUGGCGGCGUGCUUAACACAUGCAAGUCGAACGAUGAAGCCGGAGCUUGCUCUGGUGGAUUAGUGGCGAACGGGUGAGUAACACGUGAGUAACCUGCCCUUGACUCUGGGAUAAGCGUUGGAAACGACGUCUAAUACCGGAUACGACGCGCGAAGGCAUCUUCUGCGCGUGGAAAGAAUUUCGGUCAAGGAUGGACUCGCGGCCUAUCAGCUAGUUGGUGAGGUAACGGCCCACCAAGGCGACGACGGGUAGCCGGCCUGAGAGGGUGACCGGCCACACUGGGACUGAGACACGGCCCAGACUCCUACGGGAGCAGCAGUGGGGAAUAUUGCACAAUGGGCGCAAGCCUGAUGCAGCAACGCCGCGUGAGGGACGACGGCCCUCGGUUGUAAACCUCUUUAGUAGGAAGAAGCGAAAGUGACGUACCUGCAGAAAAGCACCGGCUGACUACGUAGCCAGCAGCCGC
rnacentral:rRNA from 1 species